ACGCUGGCGGCGUGCCUAACACAUGCAAGUCGAGCGAGGAGAUUCCUUCGGGAUGAUCCUAGCGGCGGACGGGUGAGUAACACGUGGGCAACCUGCCUCAUAGAGAGGAAUAGCCUUCCGAAAGGGAGAUUAAUACCUCAUAACAUUGCAGUUUCGCAUGGAACAGCAAUUAAAGGAGCAAUCCGCUAUGAGAUGGGGCCCGCGGCGCAUUAGCUAGUUGGUGAGGUAACGGCUCACCAAGGCGACGAUGCGUAGCCGACCUGAGAGGGUGAUCGGCCACAUUGGGACUGAGACACGGCCCAGACUCCUACGGGAGGCAGCAGUGGGGAAUAUUGCACAAUGGGGGAAACCCUGAUGCAAGCAACGCCGCGUGAGUGAUGACGGCCUUCGGGUUGUAAAGCUCUGUCUUCAGGGACGAUAAUGACGGUACCUGAGGAGGAAGCCACGGCUAACUACGUGCCAGCAGCGGC
rnacentral:rRNA from 1 species